GUGGGGAAUAUUGGACAAUGGGCGAAAGCCUGAUCCAGCCAUGCCGCGUGUGUGAAGAAGGUCUUCGGAUUGUAAAGCACUUUAAGUUGGGAGGAAGGGCAGUAAGUUAAUACCUUGCUGUUUUGACGUUACCAACAGAAUAAGCACCGGCUAACUUCGUGCCAGCAGCCGCGGUAAUACGAAGGGUGCAAGCGUUAAUCGGAAUUACUGGGCGUAAAGCGCGCGUAGGUGGUUUUGUAAGUUGGAGGUGAAAUCCCCGGGCUCAAGCUGGGAACUGCCUCCAAAACUGCAUGACUAGAGUACGGUAGAGGGUAGUGGAAUUUCCUGUGUAGCGGUGAAAUGCGUAGAUAUAGGAAGGAACACCAGUGGCGAAGGCGACUACCUGGACUGAUACUGACACUGAGGUGCGAAAGCGUGGGGAGCAAACAGGAUUAGAAACCCGAGUAGUCC
rnacentral:rRNA from 1 species